rnacentral:rRNA from 1 species
UGCGCAGGCGGACUUUUAAGUCAGUGGUGAAAUCCCGAGGCUCAACCUCGGAACUGCCAUUGAUACUGGAAGUCUUGAAUUUGGUUGAAGUGGGCGGAAUGUAGCAUGUAGCGGUGAAAUGCUUAGAUAUGCUACAGAACACCGAUCGCGAAGGCAGCUCACUAAGCCAAUAUUGACGCUCAGGCACGAAAGCGAGGGGAGCAAACAGGAUUAGAUACCCUGGUAGUCC